rnacentral:rRNA from 1 species
CAAUAGCGUAUAUUAAAGUUGUUGCAGUUAAAAAGCUCGUAGUUGGAUUUCUGGUGGGAGCGAUCGGUCUGGCGCUUAGCGCGAGUACUUGCAUCGUCUCCGGCCAUCCUUGGGGAGAGUCUGUCUGGCAUUAGGUUGUCGGGCAGAGGAUCCUCAUCGUUUACUGUGAAAAAAUUAGAGUGUUCAAAGCAGGCUUAUGCCGUUGAAUAUAUUAGCAUGGAAUAAUAAGAUAGGACUUUGGUACUAUUUUGUUGGUUUGCGCACCAAAGUAAUGAUUAAUAGGGACAGUUGGGGGUAUUCGUAUUCCGUUGUCAGAGGUGAAAUUCUUGGAUUUACGGAAGACGAACUACUGCGAAAGCAUUUACCAAGGAUGUUCUCAUUAA